UACGUAGGGGGCGAGCGUUGUCCGGAAUUACUGGGCGUAAAGGGCGCGUAGGCGGUUUCUUAAGUCAGAGGUGAAAACUAUGGGCUCAACCCAUAGCCUGCCUUUGAAACUGGGAGACUUGAGGACAGGAGAGGGGAGUGGAAUUCCCAGUGUAGCGGUGAAAUGCGUAGAUAUUGGGAGGAACACCAGUGGCGAAGGCGGCUCUCUGGCCUGUAACUGACGCUGAGGCGCGAAAGCGUGGGGAGCGAACGGG
rnacentral:rRNA from 1 species